rnacentral:lncRNA from 1 species
UUUGGUCCAGUGGUUUAACUAAGGGUUCAUUAAUGCUUCUACACCAGGAGGUCUGGGUUUCGAUUCCCGGAGAAGACGGAAUUAUACAAAUUAAUGGAGAAAAGACUUACAAGAGAUCUGCAGCAUGACGUAAGGAGUACCUUCAAGCGUGGAUCCGAUAGGACGGCUCAGGUGAUGCAGUUAUACGUGAAUCCUAAUAAGGCAUGUAGAAUUGUCGGCUGUAGAAUCGUGUGUAAUAUUUCUCAUAGUUUAUAAUAACAUAAUUAUCCAGCGUUAAAAAAAAAGUCUAUGUAACCUAUUUUCUCUCUUUUAGUUUUGUUUUGCUAUUAAUGUUUUUAUUCUUAAUAGUUUGUUAUGGUAAAUCGUAAGUUUUUCUAUUUUCUUCUCACCAUAUGACUAGCCCUUGUGAGUAAGGAAAAAAAACAUAAAUCAAAGAGGAAACAUAGAGAUUUUCUUAUCAGUCUACCCAAUCACUAAAAAAAAACUUAUAUUAGUUUCAUUUAUGUACUUUUAUUUCUACACAAUCACGUUGAAAAUCGUAGUCAAAUCGGAAUGUAGAAUUUUUUAAAAGUACAAAUAUAGAUAAAAAUGGUAAAUCUUAUACUCACCUUUUUGUGCUUAAUCCUUUUGAUAUGUUAUCUAACUUUUAUGACAUUAUUUUCUGCAAUGAACUAUUUUCUAUAAUUCUAAAGUAAUAGUAUUUGAAUAAUUGCAACUAGUUAUUGUUUUCCAACAGAAAGAACUUUAUUAUUUUGAACUAGUAGUUGGUCAAGAGAAUCAAAUCGAUGGUGUUGAAUCAAUGUAAGCAAUAGCAGCAAGAAAAUUUCAAGAAUCUGUUGAAAUCUUAUCCGCUAUUGUCUUUUUGUUAUUAGGAUCUGUCAAAUUACAAAAUUGGGGAAUAAAUUCUUUCAUUGUUGCAAUUCGUCUAAGAUGGUUUUUCAUCAAUAUAGACACCAUCUUCACCAAUUAAUAAUAUAUUGUGGACCGACCUUUAAAAUAUGUAGAAUCUUCAUUCAUUCCAUGGCUCGCCGUUGAGCCCACCUGAGGGGCUGAGACCAACCCGACCCAAUUGGAUCCAACCAAAAAUUGUCUACUCCUCUUGAACACUUUGCUUAUUUUGGCAGCUAUCUAUAAUACUAACAGGAAGCUGUCCAAUCCCGUUAGGGUUUGGUUAUGAUGACGGACCUGUAUGACAUAUCAGAUUUUUCGGAUCCUUUUAGACAAUAUAGAUGGUCCAUUCCGACAAACAGCAUCGGUGAUGUUUGCUGACAAGUACCGAACUACUUUCUUUAGACCAAAAACAAAAACAAUCAAACUGCCUUGUUUUCUACAGAAAUUGAUUAUCAAAGGUGCAAGGGUAAAAUAUAAAGUUGUUCUUUAUCAAAUUAAAAUUAAAUAAAAUAUAAAGUUGUUUUCCUUUAUGCAUAAAAUAGUCAUAAAAUAGUAUUUUCUCUAAUUUCUUCCGAAUUUAAUCACGAAGUUUGGAAUCACAUCACGUAUAGAGUUUCGUGGAGUUUGGACUAACCAUCUAACCCUUAAAUACCACAUAUCUAGUCUUGUUGCCGAUUUAUCGAUAAAUUUUAAAAUGACCAAAAUCAUAUACGAUCGCUAAGAUCUGUUAAUCAAAACCUAGAGAUAUGGUCGUAUGCCUAUUAAAGGUAGCUUCGUUUAACCGGAGCUUGUGACCCAGUGGUGAUCAACUUGAGGACGAAGCCUAAUAUGGUGAACUCACCUGGAUUCGAGUCUCAACCAUUAGGAAUUACAAUUUCGGCAUCGCCAAGAACAGGAAACCGAGACGUGGACCAAUAACGUACUCUGCUAACACAUGGCUAGUCUGGACUCACUUCAGUGGGAGCUAAGAUACCCUUGUAUAAUUCCAAAAAAAGUAGCUUCGUUUGAGAGAUUGUUGUGGGCUUGCUCAAAGAAUAAAAUACAGUUACAAUGCAGUAUACGUCAACAUACAACAGUAAUAAUUUUUCUGCAAUACCCAUUUGUAUUUUUUUUAAAUAAACCCAAUCUUUGAAAUCUCUACUUUAUUAAUACUAAAAAACCAUCUCCAACACCAAAAAUCCAAUAUGUAAAAUAAAAUACAAAUUGCCGACAAAAAUAUCAAAUAAAUAUCAAUAAAAUCAUAAAAGCGAUUCUGGAAAAAGAGAAAAGAUGCUUAAGAACACACAUAUGUUCGAUCGGUCACCUACUCGUGAGUUUCACCUGAAGGAGAAAGAAUAUUGUUUAUUUGUUAUGAAAAUUGCAAAGAAAAAUCAUGCUCGCAAAAUUGUGAAAGAUCUGUAAUAGAAUUGCGAGGAAAAGUAUUUUCCUCGCAAAACCCACAAAAAUUUGAGAGAGAAAUAUUCUCUUACAAAUUUGUGUGGGAUUUGUGAAAAUAGCGUAUUAAUCAUGGUGCUUUGUAAUUUUCUCGCAAAUUUGUAAUGGAUUUUGCGACUCAUGCCUAGUCCCUUGUAAUUUCCUUGCAAAUCCAUAUUUCCGGGACUUGAAUGGUUUGGGGUAUCGUUAAGAAUUUUGGUCAGAUAACAAAUCUAGUAGAAACAUAUAGUGUUUAAUAUGUACGUCAAUAACUAUUUACGAAGUUAAUCAACUACGGUUGGGAACGCAAUUCCUGACACUUGAACUAAUAUUGGAAGUACUUAGCAUCAAAACCGGUCGAUCUAUACAAUCAAUAUACAUCAACUAAAUUGCUGAAAAGUUUUAAAAUAUAUUUUCCCGUUAAAUAAAUUCUCUGAAAACCAAAAAUGUAAUAAAAGAUGAAGCUCAAAAACAGGGAUUUGGGAGGGAUCCUUCAAAUUCCCUCACAGAUCUAUGUUUCCAACACUUGAAUGGUAUUGGGAGGGGGGGGGGAUUCAACUGAACGCUCUAUUUCAGAAAAUGCCGAAAUUGAUGUUGAAACCGACAAAGAGGACACACAUGAUGAACACCAAUAUGAUAACCACACAAUAUUUAAGAAAAACAAGUAAAAAAAAAUCUAACCAAAUUUUAUGGAUUACCGUGCAAAAAUGCAUUACUAGUUACAUUAUUCUAUCUAUAUAUUAAACUCCAUCUUAAAUAGAAAUUUCAACUAUCAAACAAGUAAAUCUAAAAGUAAAAACUCUGAUAAACGUGUCUUUAUCGUAAGAAUAUCACGAAGAAUGAUUCGCUAUCUUUUGCAUAAUCCUGAUUGCUUUAUUUCCUCUUCAGGAUUGUAUGUGUUUAUACAAGUUUCCCUUUGUUCAUGAUUAGCAUUACAAUCACAUCAUGAUAUCCAAGUGAUAUUGUUGUUACAUUUUUUUGUUUAUAUAGUUGUCGAUGGCCAAGAUCUUAAAGCCGGUAACCAUCCUAGGCCAUUUUGCUCACCAAUCUCUUGCGACGCUAAAGACAAAAAUCACAGUUGUGCAAUCUGUCACCGUGGAAAAAUGAAAUUUUUUUUCAAGAGCAGAGAAGAAUGUGCUUCUGCGUGCAAAUAAUAAGUUAUCUCGAAACGUGCAAAUAGCACUAAAUAAUUUUUUUAUCGAAUAUCUAAUUAUCUGCUUCCGAUUUUUUUACUAUAAUAACAUAAGCUUAUUUUGAGUGCAACCAAUAAAAUUUAUGCUUUUUGUAUCUGUGUUUAGAGACUUCCCUAGUCUACGUAACCGUGGAAGCUUCUUUGGUCCAGUGGUUUAACUAAGGGUUCAUUAAUGCUUCUACACCAGGAGGUCUGGGUUUCGAUUCCCGGAGAAGACGGAAUUAUACAAAUUAAUGGAGAAAAGACUUACAAGAGAUCUGCAGCAUGACGUAAGGAGUACCUUCAAGCGUGGAUCCGAUAGGACGGCUCAGGUGAUGCAGUUAUACGUGAAUCCUAAUAAGGCAUGUAGAAUUGUCGGCUGUAGAAUCGUGUGUAAUAUUUCUCAUAGUUUAUAAUAACAUAAUUAUCCAGCG